AGUGUAACCCUGGGGCUGCAUGCAUUCCCAUAAGGAUGUUUUGUUGAGCUUGGCCACCCGACUCUCACAUCAGUUCCCUCCCCCUCCCCCUGGGGUAGAACAAGGUGAAUGGCCACUCUUGUAAGCCUCCAGGAACUGUGACUGCCUUUUAAGUAGGCUUUUUUUUUUGGUGGGGAGUGCUUCCUCUUCACAAUUUAACAUGUCUGGUUUGAAAUGUGUUCUUUGAGUGCUUAGAAGAAGUACCAAUCAAAGUACUCCUGUGUGCAUCUGUAUGCAUAUCUUCUUAUUGGACACAGAUGCAAUAAUGAAGCAGAAGUUCUCAAACUCAUUUGUACAAGAGAGAGUUGUUCAAAUUCUACAUCAAGGUGUUACUUAAUGCACUCCUUUGAAAAUUGAUGGGAAAGCAGGGAGGAUCACUCAGAAAACAAACCUUUAGCUGUGCCUCUCACAGGAUCCCUGCGCUAUGUGCUACAGAUCCCCCCCACCACCAAAAUACAGCUGUAACAAGGUGUGUUUUUUUUCAUUUAGCAUCCCCAGCCCACUCUCCAGUACUUCUUAAAUAGAGAGUAUCCUGAAGAGGUUUUGUCUCAUCUCAUUUGGUCCAAAUCAGAGGUUGUACAUGGAGAUUCCUGCCCACUCUCUCCCAACUAGAAGACACUUGAAAGUGAGAAAGAGGAGGAAGAUGGAGCAGCUGGCAAAAAUCUGGAUGCAUGUGCUUCAUGCAGGAGAACAGCAGAACUUCUUUUACAUAUAUUGUAAGACUACCACCAGUGCAGUGGAUGACAAAGCAACGUACAGCAGGGUCCGUGUGGCCAAAACCGUGAGCAUGAAAAAGAGCCAGGAUAUGACUGAGUACCCAAAGAAGCAAUCCCAACAAACUUAGAAAUGGCAAAGCAGGGAAGUUACAGUAUUCUCAUCUCACGUAGUACUGUAUUUAGUCAGGGAAUGGAUUGAUGACUCAGAUAGGUAAAAUACUAGCAACAUUUAACCCAUCCAAAUUUAUGGGGGAAGAUCUUUGAGUUUUCACCAAUAUCCAUCCCUCAUCUUCUUCACAUGGACUAGGAGGAACAAGAUGCAAUUUUCCACACAUUUUUUUUUCAACUUCUCUUUUCUGCCCAUUCUCCCAGGUAUGUUUCAGGAUGCAUGAAUUAAGAAACCGAACAUGGAGUUGCGGCACAGAAGAUGGAAAGCUCAUCUCGCAGCUGUGAGAACACUGAGCCCAUGCCCAGAAUCUGCAAGCAGAGGAAGUGAUAAAACUGCUUGUUUGUUUUUUUCCUCUGUUUGAACAGCAGGGAGGUUUGGCUGCAAGUCUCUGUCACCUGCUGACUGAUACAUUUUCAAUUAAAAAAGGAAAAUCUUUGAACUCUGCUCCAACUACAGAAUGUUUUUUAUACUUUGUAAUCUGGUUUUACUCUUUAUCUCUUCAUCUCCCCUGAAGUAGAAUUCAGACCAUUUAAAUUGUUAUUUUCAAUGGUCCACAUUCUCUCUGGGUUUUUUAAUGCUUCUAGAAACACAGAGGCACACAUUUGGUAAGAUAAUCAGUUAUGGAAUGCUCCUCACCCCUCACCCCCCCACUCUAGCAUGGACAUUAACUUAAUUUCAGUGCCAAAUUAAAACAUGGCCACUCACCAAUGCCUUCAGGGAUUAAGGUAGUGUCCCAUGGCUACUUCUUUACGGUUAUUGGUUCUAAUGCAUGUAUAUAGUUUUCAAUAGCUGAAGUGUUUUCAAGUGUUUUUAAAAUAUUGAACUGUUUUUAUACUGCUGUACUCCACCCUGAGAUAAUCAGAUAUAGGGCAGAAUAGAAAUAUUCUAAAUAAAUAAAUAAAUAAAAUGGAGUCA
rnacentral:lncRNA from 1 species